GCUGAGGGCCGCAGCGGGGACAGCGCCCGGGGAGGCGCCCUCGGACAGACCGCUCCGUCUCUUGCGGCCCAUUGCGGCCGCUCGGGCCAGCUGAGGAGCGCUCGCCCCGUGUUCCCUUUCCUCCCCGAGUUAUUUCCCUCAGAGCGGGUGAGGGGCAAAGUCUUGAACGACCGCCAACGGCGUCUUCUCUUCAAAACACCGCCAUCUCCCGCUCUCGAGCGCAAACCCUGCACUACGACUGCGCCACUUUCCCCACCCUCCAAGCGACUGCGGCUGCGCGCGAUCUCCCGCUCCCUCAACCGUCUUGCUGACUGCGGCUGCGCGCGAUCCCCAGCACCCGUCUUGCUGACUGCGGCUGCGCGCGAUCCCCAGCACCCGUCCUGCUGACUGCGGCUGCGCGCGGUCUCCCGCUCCCUCAACCGUCGUCCUGACCGGCGGGGCCCUGCGCAGAUCUCUCGCUGAAAGGCAGUGGAUGCCGUUGAAGUGCAACGUAAACAUUGAAGUGCAAUCCCAUGCAAUCCUGUGGGUGCCUUCCCUCCCCUGGGGAGUUGGUCGUCCCACCAUUGACUGUUCAUUGCGGUGAACCACCUGGCUACAGAUCCAGUCAGAGGGAGAAAGUUUCAGGCCCAGCCACAGUGAGCAGACAUUUCCUGGUCAGUAACUCGGGAAUGUUGGGGUCUCUCCUCCUACCUCUGGGUACUGGAAGGUCCCGCAUGCUGCAACAGGAACCCUGGUGAUGGCUGGACCUGGAGUCAAGUUAAUGCGAGGCUGGAGAAGCACAGCGGGUCAGACAGCGUCGGAGGAGCAAGACAGUCAACAUUUCAGGCCGGGACCCUUCACCCUGUCACCAGAAUGUCAAAGCUCGUUCAUCUGCACAUAAAUAAGCAGAGACCCUAAUUGAAAAUGAAACCGACAAAGGAAUGUGCCACUUCCAGUUUCUCAAGGAGCUAAAACUGAAUCUGAGAUUGGAAUCUAAAACAUAUGAGGUGACUGGAUCUGGAUGAAAGCUAUAAAAGUACUCAGAGCCAGCAGUCCUCGGGAGAAGUUGAUGAGUCCAGUGGUAUCGUGUAGGUUGACUGAAGAAGUCAGUGGCGAGAUCCAGAAGCUCAGAAUAAACCUGCACUAAUCUGUGUAACAAAAAAAUCUUUAACCCAGUCUUCAAUAUAUUAAAUAACAUACUCUCUACUCCUAUGGGGUGGAGAAUGCCAAAGAUUAACAACCUAAAUA